rnacentral:rRNA from 1 species
UGCAGUCGAGCGGUAGAGAGAAGCUUGCUUCUCUUGAGAGCGGCGGACGGGUGAGUAAUGCCUAGGAAUCUGCCUGGUAGUGGGGGAUAACGUUCGGAAACGGACGCUAAUACCGCAUACGUCCUACGGGAGAAAGCAGGGGACCUUCGGGCCUUGCGCUAUCAGAUGAGCCUAGGUCGGAUUAGCUAGUUGGUGAGGUAAUGGCUCACCAAGGCGACGAUCCGUAACUGGUCUGAGAGGAUGAUCAGUCACACUGGAACUGAGACACGGUCCAGACUCCUACGGGAGGCAGCAGUGGGGAAUAUUGGACAAUGGGCGAAAGCCUGAUCCAGCCAUGCCGCGUGUGUGAAGAAGGUCUUCGGAUUGUAAAGCACUUUAAGUUGGGAGGAAGGGUUGUAGAUUAAUACUCUGCAAUUUUGACGUUACCGACAGAAUAAGCACCGGCUAACUCUGUGCCAGCAGCCGCGGUAAUACAGAGGGUGCAAGCGUUAAUCGGAAUUACUGGGCGUAAAGCGCGCGUAGGUGGUUUGUUAAGUUGGAUGUGAAAUCCCCGGGCUCAACCUGGGAACUGCAUUCAAAACUGACUGACUAGAGUAUGGUAGAGGGUGGUGGAAUUUCCUGUGUAGCGGUGAAAUGCGUAGAUAUAGGAAGGAACACCAGUGGCGAAGGCGACCACCUGGACUAAUACUGACACUGAGGUGCGAAAGCGUGGGGAGCAAACAGGAUUAGAUACCCUGGUAGUCCACGCCGUAAACGAUGUCAACUAGCCGUUGGAAGCCUUGAGCUUUUAGUGGCGCAGCUAACGCAUUAAGUUGACCGCCUGGGGAGUACGGCCGCAAGGUUAAAACUCAAAUGAAUUGACGGGGGCCCGCACAAGCGGUGGAGCAUGUGGUUUAAUUCGAAGCAACGCGAAGAACCUUACCAGGCUUGACAUCCAAUGAACUUUCUAGAGAUAGAUUGGUGCCUUAACAUUGAGACAGGUGCUGCAUGGCUGUCGUCAGCUCGUGUCGGAGAUGUUGGGGUGCCUAUUACCAG